rnacentral:lncRNA from 1 species
CAAACCAACAUCCAUCAUGUUUAAAUUGCCAACAAUGACUCAUUAACAUCAAGUUGCUACCAAGCGUUACAGCCUAUAGCAAGAUUCCAAAUACAUUCAGCAAUGCAAGAAAUACACUCUCUUUCAAUGUCUUUUUCCUCCUUUUCACUAACCCUUGAGAUGGGACCAAGGACAAAGUGAAUCGCGUUACUUUCUUAUCAAUGCUAAUAUACAUUUAAGGACAAGAAGAAUGUCCAUAUACAUAAUCUUCACCAAGAAAUCAUUAUUCCAUUACAAGCAGCAAUAAAACUAUGACUAAGAUAUGAAUUAUUUGUUAUGGUAUCCCGAGUUUGCAUCCAGGUGAUUGCUAUGUCUCCAGCAAGUUGUUCACCAACAAGAACAUCUUAUCAGUUCCCAAGCCUAGAAACAUUAAUAUGUUAUGAAUUCUAUAUAGUAGAAAUAUUCUCCGCGCUUGGUUUACCAUUUGAUGUGCUGGUGCUGGUGCUGGUUGCAGGGCGAAUAAGGUCCAACCCAUAUACAUGGCCCAUUUUAGCACGUUUUGUUUCCAGAUAUUUCUUGUUUUCUUUUGUAAUGGGACACAGAAGUGGGACCCUACCAGAAAUUGCCAAACCAUAACCCUUAAGCCCUCUAUAUUUUGCAGGAUUGUUUGUCAUCAACUUCAUGGUUCGAACACCAAGAUCCCUCAACAUCUGCAGAAGGAUACAAGUUUAGCUUUGCUAUAUGAUACGUAGAUUUACAUACAAUUUACAGCAUGAUGCAGAAAGAGCUCAUAUGUACACCAGAUUUUUUUUUUUAUAGAAAGUAAGUACCUGCGCACCAAUCCCAUACUCUCUUGAAUCAACGGGCAAACCAAGCUCUUCAUUUGCUUCGACAGUAUCACGUCCAGCAUCUUGUAAAUUAUAAGCGCGAAGUUUGUGACCCAAACCAAUUCCUCUACCCUCAUGACCACGGAGGUAAACCAAAACCCCCCUGCCAGCAGCCUCAAUUUGUUGCAUUGCAAGCGCCAGCUGGUUCCCACAGUCACAUCUGGCUGAACCGAAUAUAUCUCCUGUGAGGCACUCUGAGUGUACGCGGACAAGAAUAUCUUGGCCGUCUCCAAUAUCUCCCUGUUCAUUCCACAAACUCGUCCAAAAUCAGUCCCAAACACGAAACGAACUUUGCCAAUUAGAUAUUACCAUAGUUUGCAUUAAUAUAAAUUUGCUACAAGGAUGCCAAACUGUAAGAUGGUGUAAGAUACAAUAGCACACGUGCUCUUCCCCUUUACAAUUAAGAAAAAAGAUGGAACCUCAUGUUUCUACUAGAUAUACCUAGUUUUGUGAUUACUGCUGAAGAUAGAUGAGAGAAUAUCCCCAAAGGUGCUCACCUUAACCAUAGCAAUGUGCUCAAUUCCAUCUAUUAUUGACUUGAAGCAAUGGGCAGUGAAUGGGCCCCACAUAGUAGGUAAUCUUGCAGCAGAAGCAUGCUCUACCAACUGAUCUCUUUUCCUCCUAUAUCUGUAUAAAAGGAAGUUCUUGUCAGAUGAUAUACCAAAAAUUUAAUGUAGUAGAAACAAGUGGAAGAGGGGCUAAAAGAAUGCUUGCUUUCAAGCAAACUGGCUUGCUGGACAAAGCAAGGACAACGAAAGUCACAUCUAACAAAUUUUAAGAUAUUAGUGCAGCUAAAUGCAGACCAAAAGAGAAAAAAAUCAAAAGUAGACUUCUUAUUCAACAUAGAGAACUAUCGACUUAAAGGGGAACUGACUGAUGUAAAAGCAGGGAAAAAGAACAUUUUUAGAAGUUGUUUAGUUAGAAACACAAUGUGGAUUCAUAAUUAGGAAGCUAUUACAGCUUGGAGCUCCUGGCCAUCAAAAUAGAACUUUAACACAGCUCUUGGUUUCUCUCAAGGGAUAAGGGGCAUGAACUUUUGCAUAAUUUCUUAUGCAGUUAGGAUGAAAGAAAGAUGAAGCUAAAAAGAAAAUAGAUCCAAAGUAAAAAUAAAAAGAAGCUUCUCACUUCAGAACCAUCAGAAGUAUCUAGUCAUCAAGUUACAGAAGGACAAAACAAUAAAGCACCAAGGAAUUAUUCAGAAACAACGAUUCCUAAUGAAAUCAGAAGGAGAUCUGCUAACUACCUGAUUAAAUCAGCAACUGAUAUGAUCUUCAAGUUAUGUUCUUUUGCAAAUUGACGAAGCUUAGGCAAUCUGGCCAUGGAACCAUCUUCAUCCACAAUUUCGCAUAUUACUCCAACGGGGUCUAAGCCAGCUAACAUGGCUAGAUCCACAGAAGCUUCAGUAUGUCCAGCUCGUUUUAGAACCCCACCUGGCCUGUAUUUCAAAGGAAAAAUAUGACCUGGUCGGUUGAAAUCCUCAGGCUUCGAAUCUCCGGAUGCAAGUGCCAGUACUGUCGUUGCUCUAUCUUGAGCAGACACCCCUGUAGUUGUUCCAUGUUUUGCAUCCUGUGUGAUUGUUUUACCAUCAAUACUCCAUAAGUAUCAAUUUAAGAGGAUACUACUAGACUAGGGUGCUAAAAGGACAACCAGCAGCAAGAGGAAGCACACACGAGGAAUAAUUCUCAAAAAGUUUUUUGACUCAGAAUCCCAGUAAGAAAUUAAAUGCUAGCAGUAAAUGUUUGUAAUAAAUGAGCCUUAAGUAUGUUGGUUUACAUGUUUACCAUUAGCAAAUGUAGAAGUAAAACAGAGAAGACAAAGAUAGUUGUACUCCACACAGCUGCAAGAAUUGCAAGACCAUAUCCUUAAAAUAUCCCCUGGGGAAACACAGUAUUCCGGCAUUGACUGGGAGU